rnacentral:rRNA from 1 species
AGGCAUGAGAGGGCACACGGCCACACUGGCAAUGAAACACGGGCCAGACUCCUACGGGAGGCAGCAGUGGGGAAUCUUGCACAAUGGGGGAAACCCUGAUGCAGCGACGCCGCGUGAGCGAUGAAGCCCUUCGGGGUGUAAAGCUCUUUCGGCAGGGAAGAUUAUGACGGUACCUGCAGAAGCAGCUGCGGCUAACUACGUGCCAGCAGCCGCGGUAAUACGUAGGCAGCAAGCGUUGUUCGGAGUUACUGGGCGUAAAGGGUGUGUAGGCGGCCUAUUAAGUUCCGUGUGAAAUCUCCCGGCUCAACCGGGAGGGUGCGCGGAAUACUGACGGGCUAGAGUGCGGGAUGGGAGAGUAGAAUUCCUGGUGUAGCGGUGAAAUGCGUAGAUAUCAGGAGGAAUACCGGUGGUGUAGACGGCUCUCUGGACCGCAACUGACGCUGAGACACGAAAGCGUGGGUAGCAAACAGGAUUAGAUACCCUGGUAGUCCACGCCCUAAACGAUGCAUAUUUGGUGUAGGUCAUUCAGUUGAUCUGUGCCGGAGCUAACGCGUUAAAUAUGCCGCCUGGGGAGUACAGUCGCAAGGCUGAAACUCAAAGGAAUUGACG